rnacentral:rRNA from 1 species
GACGGAGGGAGCUAGCGUUGUUCGGAAUUACUGGGCGUAAAGCGCACGUAGGCGGCGUCGCAAGUCAGGGGUGAAAUCCCGGGGCUCAACCCCGGAACUGCCCUUGAAACUGCAAUGCUAGAAUCUUGGAGAGGCGAGUGGAAUUCCGAGUGUAGAGGUGAAAUUCGUAGAUAUUCGGAAGAACACCAGUGGCGAAGGCGAUUCGCUGGACAAGUAUUGACGCUGAGGUGCGAAAGCGUGGGGAGCAAACAGG